rnacentral:rRNA from 1 species
AUUGAACGCUGGCGGCAGGCCUAACACAUGGAAGUCGAGCGGAUGAGUGGAGCUUGCUCCAUGAUUCAGCGGCGGACGGGUGAGUAAUGCCUAGGAAUCUGCCUGGUAGUGGGGGAUAACGUUUCGAAAGGAACGCUAAUACCGCAUACGUCCUACGGGAGAAAGCAGGGGACCUUCGGGCCUUGCGCUAUCAGAUGAGCCUAGGUCGGAUUAGCUAGUAGGUGAGGUAAUGGCUCACCUAGGCGACGAUCCGUAACUGGUCUGAGAGGAUGAUCAGUCACACUGGAACUGAGACACGAUCCAGACUCCUACGGGAGGCAGCAGUGGGGAAUAUUGGACAAUGGGCGAAAGCCUGAUCCAGCCAUGCCGCGUGAGUGAAGAAGGUCUUCGGAUUGUAAAGCACUUUAAGUUGGGAGGAAGGGCAGUAAGUUAAUACCUUGCUGUUUUGACGUUACCAACAGAAUAAGCACCGGCUAACUUCGUGCCAGCCGCCGCGGUAAGAC